rnacentral:ncRNA from 2 species
UGUCUCCUCCAACUCUCCUCAGAAAAGAAUUGGAUUUAAGCCCGCCUCAACAGCGGGCUUUUUUUU